UACGGAGGGUGCAAGCGUUAUCCGGAUUCACUGGGUUUAAAGGGUGCGUAGGCGGUCGGGUAAGUCUGACGUGAAAUCUUCAAGCUUAACUUGGAAACUGCGUCGGAUACUAUUCGGCUAGAGGAAUGGAGGGGAGACUGGAAUACUUGGUGUAGCAGUGAAAUGCGUAGAUAUCAAGUGGAACACCAGUGGCGAAGGCGAGUCUCUGGACAUUUCCUGACGCUGAGGCACGAAAGCCAGGGGAGCAAACGGG
rnacentral:rRNA from 1 species